rnacentral:rRNA from 1 species
AUUGAACGCUGGCGGAAUGCUUUACACAUGCAAGUCGAACGGCAGCACGGACUUCGGUCUGGUGGCGAGUGGCGAACGGGUGAGUAAUGUAUCGGAACGUGCCCAGUCGCGGGGGAUAACGUAGUGAAAAUUACGCUAAUACCGCAUACGACCUAUGGAUGAAAGCGGGGGAUCGCAAGACCUCGCGCGAUUGGAGCGGCCGAUAUCAGAUUAGGUAGUUGGUGGGGUAAAGGCCUACCAAGCCAACGAUCUGUAGCUGGUCUGAGAGGACGACCAGACACACUGGAACGGAGACACGGUCCAGACUCCUACGGGAGGCAUCAGUGGGGAAUUUUGGACAAGGGGCGAAAGCCUGAUCCAGCCAUUCCGCGUGCAGGAUGAAGGCCCUCGGGUUGUAAACUGCUUUUGUACAGAACGAAAAGGUUUCUACUAAUACUAGGAGCUCAUGACGGUACUGUAAGAAUAAGCACCGGCUAACUACGUGCCAGCCGCCGCCGUAA